rnacentral:rRNA from 1 species
UACGUAGGUGACCAGCGUUGUCCGGAUUUACUGGGCGUAAAGAGCGCGCAGGCGGUCGUUCAAGUCGAGUGUGAAAGCCCCCGGCUCAACUGGGGAGGGUCAUUCGAUACUGAUCGACUUGAAGGCAGGAGAGGGAAGUGGAAUUCCCGGUGUAGUGGUGAAAUGCGUAGAUAUCGGGAGGAACACCAGUGGCGAAGGCGACUUCCUGGCCUGUUCUUGACGCUGAGGCGCGAAAGCUAGGGGAGCAAACGGGGAUUAAGAAACCCGGGUAGUACCC